CUCUGUGCAAUAAUAAUGAUAUGCUGUGUAGAGAAGAAGAACAUAAUAGUCAACACUAGUGACUGUUAUUGA
rnacentral:rRNA from 1 species